rnacentral:tmRNA from 1 species
GGGGCUGAUUCUGGAUUCGACGGGAUUUGCGAAACCCAAGGUGCAUGCCGAGGGACGGUUGGCCUCGUAAAAAGCCGCAAAAAAUAGUCGCAAACGACGAAAACUACGCUUUAGCAGCUUAAUAACCUGCUUAGAGCCCUCUCUCCCUAGCCUCCGCUCUUAGGACGGGGAUCAAGAGAGGUCAAACCCAAAAGAGAUCGCGUGGAAGCCCUGCCUGGGGUUGAAGCGUUAAAACUUAAUCAGGCUAGUUUGUUAGUGGCGUGUCCGUCCGCAGCUGGCAAGCGAAUGUAAAGACUGACUAAGCAUGUAGUACCGAGGAUGUAGGAAUUUCGGACGCGGGUUCAACUCCCGCCAGCUCCACCA